CUGUCUACUUGCUGGACCUUCGACCUGCAGGAAAGACCCAGCUUUUUCCUCUUAAUGGAAAUGAUGGAAAAACUGCCCAAACUGAACCGGCACCUCUCUCACCCAGGCCACUUCUGAAAAUCGGCUGAUCGCUGGCGGAAUCGCUACUCCAAAGGGCGCUACUACCACCCAGAAUUUAGGGGAACCUUCCGUCCCCUCUUGGAGGAAUAGAGUGUGUCCUGUUGGGUGCUCGUUUCUCACCCAUCAUACGUCCUGCAUCCAUUCUUCCCUCCCUUCAACCUUCUCCCCUAGCUCCUGACUCAUGUUUUUAUUUUUUAUUUCCAUGCAAUGAAGCGUGUUUUUUAAAAA